GUGCGUGCGUGCGCGCGUGCGCGCGUGCGUGCGUGCGUGCGUGCGCGUGUGUGUUUUGGCUGCUGGUCAGUGUUUGUCACAGUUAAUGAGGUCACCUGAGAGCACCUGGUUAAUGGCCUCUCAUUAGGAGCAGCAGCUCGUUAGUCCGUCUCUCAGGACAAACUGCAGCACAAACAGUUACAUCAUCAUCUGAUGUUUAUACCUCUUUGACCUCUGACCUUCCCUCUCCUGGGCUCACAGGUACACAUGGCAAGUGGAUCCAUUCAAUACAAAAACAAACAGCAUUUUUUCACCUAAUACUUUAUUGUUUCGUGAUCAUGUUUGACAGUAAUAAAUGAUAAAAAUCGAUUUUGUGUCUGAUCUUGUAUCUGAGGAACAUCUCUGUAGAUACAGAUCUCUAUCUGUCUUCAUAGAGACGUCUGACAUGUUGUCCACUUGUCCACAGCUCCCCUGUCCCUCAGAGUCCUUUCUGCACUCGCCAGUCAGACCGUUUACUGUUCUGUUAUUAUUAGAAAAGGAAAAGUGCAAGUAUUUAAAUUAUUAUUAAAACUCUUUGGUGAUAUCUGAAGUUUUGCACAUGAGAUUUCAAUUUCAUAAUCUUUGAAAUGUUUCUUCACCUUAAGUGCAGCCCUAAAGACUCCCAGAAGCACUCUGAGCUCCAUCAGACAGGACCAUGGUGAGAUGGUGGCACUUUAUGGUCAUUCUGGAAAGUGUGAAGCCUCAUCUUAAAUACUCUAGGAACAACAAACUGAAACUUAACGAGGCCGUAAAGCUUAAAGAAGUGGAUUCACCAACAAGCAAACAGCUGGAAUGUGCAACAAAAGUCACGACUUUGACGCAGAGGCACGAAGAUCAGCCGGAGACGGCACCGCGUGCUCACGCGCGUUUAUCUGCUGGCUGCUGUCAGGACUGUGCUGCACAAUCAAGCCUCGGCAGGUCGGAAAGAUAUUUCCAUCUUUAAGGCGUCUCUGAUGUAGACUCUUUCAUUAUGUUACUAAUCAGAAUACUUUAUGAGUGUAGAGAUCUUUAACUGUUGCAGAUGGAAACAACAAAUUUGUAGAAAUAUUUAUAUAAUCUCAUUUUGGCUGAGCUUACAAUGCGUGGAGAUGCAUCUGGUCCAAAAUCCUGCAUUCAGGCAAAAAUAUGAACAUUUACAGGAUAAAAUGUUUUAUUGUGACAUAGUGAGAUAAGUACGAUUAUAUCUGCAGCUCAUGAAAAAAGGCUCAAAUCUUAAAUUGUAAAAAAUCAGAUUACUGUUGAACUUAUGGUUCGAUCUUCUCUCAUCUGUAGGACUAAAUGUUGCUUUCAUUGGUCGACACCGAGGUAAAAUCCUCUCAGCUCGCCGAAGCUCGCAGCAGGUUUUGUCCCUCGGUAUGACAGACGUCAGCAGAUAAAAAAAAUCACUCCGGCUGCUGUUCAGAGUGACGAGGCUCUGAGGCUCGCAGCGUAAGGCCGAGUCGAUUUGAGCCCCCUGAUGUCUUUUGUUGA
ensembl:lncRNA